rnacentral:rRNA from 1 species
CCUACGGGAGGCUGCAGUGGGGAAUAUUGGACAAUGGGGGGAACCCUGAUCCAGCCAUGCCGCGUGUGUGAAGAAGGCCCUCGGGUUGUAAAGCACUUUCAGUGAGGAAGAACGCCUGGUGGUUAAUACCCAUCAGGAAAGACAUCACUCACAGAAGAAGCACCGGCUAACUCCGUGCCAGCAGCCGCGGUAAUACGGAGGGUGCGAGCGUUAAUCGGAAUUACUGGGCGUAAAGCGCGCGUAGGUGGCGUGGUAAGCCGGUUGUGAAAGCCCCGGGCUCAACCUGGGAACGGCAUCCGGAACUGUCAAGCUAGAGUGCAGGAGAGGAAGGUAGAAUUCCCGGUGUAGCGGUGAAAUGCGUAGAGAUCGGGAGGAAUACCAGUGGCGAAGGCGGCCUUCUGGACUGACACUGACACUGAGGUGCGAAAGCGUGGGUAGCAAACAGGAUUAGAUACCCUAGUAGUC